CUGGACUAAACACUUACAUAGAAAAGGCAUAUAUUAAGUAAUGUGAUUGAAUGAUGAUGGAUCACUCUGACAUUGGUGUUUAGUCUCAGAUGAGGUCCCCUCCUUUCCUCCAUCCUGUAGAAAUGUGGCCUGGUCCUGAGCUGGAAGAGGGUCCAAGGGGCUUCUGGGAAACUGCAAGGUAAAAACAAAACAGCGUUUGGUUUCUGUGAGUACAAGGAGCCAGAGUCCACCCUGCGUUCCCUGCGUCUGCUACAUGAGCUGUUGCUGGGAGACAAGAAGCUGCUGGUCAAGGUGGAUGCUAAGACCAAGGCCCAGCUUGAAGAAUGGAAGGCUAGGAAGAGGAACGCCAACGGGGGAGCCAUGUCAGAGGACGGGCUCAAGGAAGAGGAAGAGGAGGAGGAGGAGGAGGAUCUUGAUGAGGACACAAAGCGCCGUGACCAGAUAGUGAAGGGGGCCAUCGAGGGGUUGAUCCGGGAGUACGGCAGUGAGCUCAACGCCCCUUCGCAGGACGGAGACAACCAGCCCCGCAAGAAGAAGAGAGAGAAGAAAGAGGAGGUAGUAGCGUCCGUUCCACUGGAGAG